AUAUCGUGAUAAAGACAUUUUCUCAGCAGUUCCUUAAACCUUUCCCACGUAUCAUACAAUGAUUCUCCAUCAUUCUUAUAGAAAUUAUUGAUCUCACCCUUUAGUUU